AAGGCGCAUGGAGGAACACAAGCCAUUGGGCACCCUCAAUGUCAUGUGCCAUGUGAACCUCAGCAGGGGGCUCCAGGGAGCCUUUCCUGAGAAAAAUAGCUAAUUUGAGAUUGUAAGAACAAGAAAUGAUGACUCAGGUGAAGGAGCCAAGAAAGGAAGAAAGAAAGAAAGGCCUUCUGUAAAGGUCAAAGGUCCAGAGAUGAAAGAGACAUUGAUACCUUUUUGCAAACACUUGAGCAAGACCCUGGAGAAGAACCCGGCAGGGGAAAAGGUGAGAGAGAUGUCUCCGCAGUAAGGGACCUACGGCAGUUACACGGCAUAUUAAGAGAGGCUGUUGAAAACAGAAUAUGAAAUAUAAGUGAUGCCAGACUUUCAAGUCAAAAUCGCUCCUUGGUUUCUGCAGCAAAUCCUCCAGCAAAUCGACUAAAGAUUCAAAUGUAACAUCCAAGCAAAAGUAAAUGGAUAUGAUGUUACAAACAUUUGUAUGACAGAUUAGACAGUUACAACUGCAUCAGAGAAGAGAGUAAAAAGACAUGUUCUCCAUUAAA